UACGGGGGGGGCAAGCGUUGUUCGGAAUUACUGGGCGUAAAGGGCUCGUAGGCGGCCAACUAAGUCAUACGUGAAAUCCCUCGGCUUAACCGGGGAACUGCGUCUGAUACUGGAUGGCUUGAGUUCGGGAGAGGGAUGCGGAAUUCCAGGUGUAGCGGUGAAAUGCGUAGAUAUCUGAAGGAACACCGGUGGCGAAGGCGGCAUCCUGGACCGAUACUGACGCUGAGGAGCGAAAGCCAGGGGAGCAAACGGG
rnacentral:rRNA from 1 species